UGGUAUUGAUUGGUGCUUGCAUCAUGAUUUACAUUUGAGUGAGUGGCGAACUGGUGAGUAACACGUGGGAAACCUGCCCAGAAGCGGGGGAUAACACCUGGAAACAGAUGCUAAUACCGCAUAACAACUUGGACCGCAUGGUCCGAGCUUGAAAGAUGGCUUCGGCUAUCACUUUUGGAUGGUCCCGCGGCGUAUUAGCUAGAUGGUGGGGUAACGGCUCACCAUGGCAAUGAUACGUAGCCGACCUGAGAGGGUAAUCGGCCACAUUGGGACUGAGACACGGCCCAAACUCCUACGGGAGGAAGCAGUAGGGAAUCUUCCACAAUGGACGAAACUCUGAUGGAGCAACGCCGCGUGAGUGAAGAAGGGUUUCGGCUCGUAAAAGUCUGUUGUUAAAGAAGAACAUAUCUGAGAGUAACUGUUCAGGUAUUGACGGAAUUUAACCAGAAAGCCACGGCUAACUACCUGCCAGCAGCCGCGCUAAUACGUAGGUGGCAAGCGUUGUCCGGAUUUAUUGGGCGUAAAGCGAGCGCAGGCGGUUUUUUAAGUCUGAUGUGAAAGCCUUCGGCUCAACCGAAGAAGUGCAUCGGAAACUGGGAAACUUGAGUGCAGAACAGGACAGUGGAACUCCAUGUGUACCGGUGAAAUGCGUAGAUAUAUGGAAGAACACCAGUGGCGAAGGCGGCUGUCUCGUCUGUAACUGAC
rnacentral:rRNA from 1 species